GGAAAGAGCCAGCAUUGUAACCGUGCUCGGUGACUUCUCUGGCUUUAUAGGGAACAGAUGUGAGGAUAGCAAGGGGCGCACACGUGAAAUGCCUGGCAGGUACCCCUUUGUGGCUCUACUUACUUCUUGCCAUUCCUCUGCCCUCCAAGUGUAGAGGGGACACCGUGGGCCUUGGCAGUCGCGUUCCGACUCCGGUCUGGUGUAUGGGUUGCACUCGGUCUCUCUGGCUAUUUUGUGUGUUCCGAUCUGACAGCCCACAUGCCUCUGCUGUACGCCUCGGCCACAGGACACAGAGCACUAAGAAGACAGAGAACCACUAAGAAAGACAACAAGGGCUGUUAAGGAAAUCAUGACAUUCCAUAGUUUGUGAAGCCCAUCCUGACCACAAAGGUGUUGAACUGUGAAGAAGACCUGCAUCUCAGAACUGAUGAAUGACUUGAUUGCAUGAAUUCAUGAUUGAUUAAUGCAUUGCGCCAGUUUGGAUAAUAUCUCAAGGCUUAAUAGGGAAGGAAGGUGGCAUUGAAAAAAAAAAAAUGUCCACAGCAUUACAGCAGCAAUCCUGUGUGGCAUUUUUGGCUCACUCAAGACUGUGGGUAAAUCCUGAGAAUUGGAGCCAAAAAUAAAGCUCAUGAACCUGAAAUUACCAUGAAAUUCUGAUUUUAAGAAGUCCUACUAUGAAAUAGUGAUAUAUUUCUUCAACAAAAUGCCUUGUGAUUCACUGACUGGGAUAAAGAUUCACAGUCUGGUGAGACAAGUUUGAGAUCUCAUAUUUUCAGCUCAUCCUUGAAAACCUUUCUUCGAUUUGACUGACCUUGAUGGCUCCCUGGAAUCUCACCUACAUUUUAUGGGAAAUUCAACUCUCCAGAGAGAAGAGCUUUCAGAUAG
rnacentral:antisense_RNA from 1 species